rnacentral:lncRNA from 1 species
GAGAGGAGAAAGCUCUUGAGUAUUCGGUCACUAGGAGGAGGAAAAUUGAAGGUAAGUUCUUGGUACAUUGUUUCUAUUUUGAGGUUCAUGAGUUCUUCUUGAUUCUACCUUAACUCUUGAAGCAUAUUUUGGUUUUUAGUUAUGUUGUGAGCAUUUAGUCAUGAAUUAAAAUGAAGGAAAUGGUUGUUGUUUCAUGUUCUUUUGAUGAAAAAUGGAAGAUAGGUGAAGUUGAGCCAAACGAAUGAGCAUGCAUGUGCCUUAGAUGCUAAGGGAAAAAUUGGCUAACAUGUUGUGCUUUAAAAUGAUGAAAUGGAGAUUAUACUUAAGUAAAAUCAUAGAUAUGUGAUGAUUGAUUGGUGAUAUACAUGUUUAAAUAACAUGCAUGCAAGUUAGGUGUGUGAAAGAGUGAUUUGGUAAUAAAUCUGCUUGGGACAACAGCAGUAACGUGACUUUGGAAAAUCACCAUAAAUUGUGGGAGAUGAGUUAGAAGCUGAGUAAAUUAUGUAAUUAAAUCUUAAUGAGUCUAGUUUCAAAAGAAAUAAACAAGAACAUAUUUUGAAUUCUGUACAAUGAGAAAUUUGAUUCGUAAAGAAGAGUGGUCAGAUUAGUCAAACAGUGAAACAUGGGACACUUUGAGAAAAAUCUGGUAUUGAUUGGAUAAACCAAAAAUUCUUAAAAUUUUAUGGAUAGAAUAUAUAUGAGUCUAUUUUCAGGGAAAAUUAACGGAACUUGAUUUGGAGUUUCGUAGCUCCAGUUAUAAAUGAUUUAGUGACUGUUACUCAGGAAGACAGCUUGCAGUGAAAUUUUGAUUAUGUGGUAAACAUUGACAAAAAUUUGUUAAUGAGUUGCUUAUUGAUUUCUUAUAAGCUUACUAUGAUCUGUAGAUGUGGUUGGCCGAAUAUGGUAUGGGGUUAAUAUGUAGUUCGUGUUUGAAUAGUUAGAUUAACGUGUUAGUAAUCCAAUUGUAGGCAGUUCGUGUGUGCAUCUCGUCAGCAUAUCGUCGCAAACAGGUGUGUAACUAACACCCUCUUAUAGACUAGAUCGGCAAAAGCUGAAAAGCCGGUAUUUUGAGAUCUUGCGAGUGUUCUAAUGCUCAUGAGAUUAAUAGUUUGAUGUAUAUGGUAAAUUAAAGUGAUAAGACUGCAGAGUGCACGAUUCCGUGCAUUUCGAUAUUUUUGGGCUUAAUAGGCCAAAAACGGGAUAAUGGGCCAACGGGCCCAAGUUGGUAAGAAAACGUGGUAAGUGUUUCUGAUCGUACGUAAAUGGCUAUGUUAUAUAUGAAAACCUUAAGAAUAGUGAAAUUACUUGAACACCCCUAUGUAUGCAAAAUUACCGUUAUACCCCUAGGGUUAUUUUUUUCUGAAAAGCAUGAUGUUCUGUUUCUGUAUACGUAUGCCAUGACAUAUUAUUUCUGUUGCAUGGGGACAUGGGUUAUAUUAUGGAGGAAGCGUCCUGGUGGCUAUGCCACAAAUAUCUGAUCUGGUGGCUCUGCCACAUAUAUCUGUUCUGGUGGCUCUGCCACGAUUAUCUGAUCUGGUGGCUCUGCCACAUAUGUCUGUUCUGGUGGCUCUGCCAUGAUUAUCUGUAUCUGGUGACUCUGUCAUAUUAUCUGUUCUGGCAACCAUGCUACAUAUUUCUGUGGUAUGUAGCGGUUGGGUGGGUCGAGUAGCCUCCCUACAUGGUGUAAGGCUGGUACGGGGGUGCUAUGGAUGAAUCUGGGUUGGGUUUCUGCAUAAACAUGUAAUAUCUGUUCUGUUCUGUUAUGGGCCUAUGGGCUUCAUUCUGAAAUCUGUUCUGGGCUAAGGCCAACUUAUUCUGUUUCUGUGGUUUGAGCUGAUUUAGACUAUGGUUGGGUUAUUUUACACACUGAGUUUUCUCAAACUCACCCCUUAUUUUUCAUCCACGUAGGUAAACCCCAACCAUAGUGGGCUUGGAGCUAUGAGGGAAUUCGGAGUGGCCACACGUUCUGCAAAUUCCUAUUUUCUUUCGGUGAAUUGGACAUCUUUUCUUUUAUUUUUAUGAUUUGGGUUUUAUGUUGUAAUAAGGCCGCUUAAUUAUUUUUGAUGGUUUUGAUAUGUUUUAUUAAGAUAGGUAUUACUUAUAUUAACUGUUGGAAUUGGAUAGCUUUAGGGCGCAUCUUAAAAAACAGUAAUUGAUUUCAAAAUAACACAACAACAAGCAUAGCUUCCGCAACGAAGAUAUUUUCCAAAAUUAAUCACUUUUCCUAAAAAGGACUUAAUCAAAUCGAUUUCCUAGAAAUAUACAUGAUGUUAAGGUGUGGCAAUAGCGGUGUGCAUGUCUAGGAUUGGAUUUGAAGGGAGCUUGGUACUUAAGCAGUCCGAUGGACUCACCUCCUCUUUUCCAGUUUCUUACCUGGUGCACAGCCUCCAUCCACUUUAACCUAUAAUGAAAUCAUCUUUUAAAACACUAAGUAAGUUUUUCUGGAUCAACAAUAUAAAAUGUUUUGAAUGCUUCAAUGUGGCAUGUCGGAUCCGACCAUAACGUCUGGGCCGAGUUUGGGGUGUUACAUUUAGUGGUAUCAGAGCCAGGUUGCAACAACUCGGCUGUGGAAUGGGUUUACAAAAAAAACAAAUAUUUUCAAAAACAAAAAAAAAUUAUAAAGAUUGCGAAAAACGUGAUUUUUAAAAUUUAGAUCUUUAGAAGGUGGCAUUCCGAAUCUACGGCCGAAGCCUGUAAGUAUUACUCUGAACUCUUCUGAAUAUUUUUCUGACUUAUCUGUCUGUACUGAAAUCCUGCUAGGAUACUCUAGAUAGAAUGAUACUGAAACCAUAGGAAAAUUUGAUAAGAGACUGAAACUGUAGCUAGACUUCGAUUCUGCGAAAACAAACUCUGAACUACUGUCUGAUUCAUAAAACAUCUGUAAUAAACACUGGAAUAUUAAUUGAUGCAUAAAAAUUCGUAAUCAAGAUAAUACGAUAUGAGUACAAGAGGCCGUGGACGGAACCGAGGAAGUGCUGGAGCGAGAUCUUCGUCUUCGAGACAUAUGCCGGCGGUGGAUGCACCGGUACCACUGACAACAGAGGUAGAGUCUCAUGACCGCGGUGCCGGCGAUGAUGCCCUGUCACAGGCAAUGCUUCGUGUUCUGGAAAGGGUUGCCGGGGCAAGUGCAUGCAAUAGAGUUUGGGGAUCUAUUUCUGAAUGACUUCGGGCUAACGGAGCGGAGAUCUUUAGGGGCGUGUCUGGUAUAGCCCCGAAUGUGGCGGAAUAUUGGUUGGAGGCCACAGAACGGAUUAUGGACAACUUGGACUGCUCUGAGAAGAUUGUGAGUGGGGUAUCUGUACUAACUCCUUUAGGUCACUCGGUUAGGGUAGACAAAUUGUAUAGGGAUGUACCCUUAGAAACUCAAGGUAGGAUUUUCCAUGGAGAUCUGAUGGAGUUACCGUUCGGAGAGUUUGAUCUCAUUUUGGGAAUGGACUGGCUUGUUAAGCAUAAGGCGAUCCUAGAUUGUGCUGCUAAACGAAUGGUGUUAAGGACCACAAAGGAUGAGGAGGUUAUGGUAUAGGUGAGCGAAGGGAUUAUUAGUCCAAUGUGGUGUCGGCUUUAAGAGCUGAAAAGUGGAUUCGGAAAGGUUGUGAAGCCUAUUUGGAAUUUGUAAGUCAGUCAGAAGAGGAGGGAUUGUCAGUGGAUAAGGUUAGGACUGUAAAGGAGUUCCAAGAUGUUUUCCGGAGGAACUUCUAGGAUUGCCUUCGAACCGAGAAUUGGAGUUUGGAAUCGACUUAUUGCCUGGAACGGCACCAGUGUCUGUCGCACCGUAUAGAAUGGCACCGAAGGAGUUGGUGGAGCUAAAUGCACAAAUUCAAGAGUUGUUGGAUAGGGGCUUCAUUAGGCCAAGCGUGUCUCCAUAGGGAGCACCGGUGCUAUUCGUGAAGAAGAAGGAUGGUACAAUGCGGAUGUGCAUUGAUUAUCGCCAAUUGAACAAACUGACAAUUAAGAAUAAGUAUCCACUGCCAAGGAUUGACGAUCUGUUUGACCAGCUUAGAGGGGCCUCUAUAUUUUCUAAGAUCGACUUCCGAUCUGGAUAUCAUCAGUUAAGGGUCAAGGAGGCGGAUAUCCAUAAGACGGCAUUCAGGACUCGGUAUGGUCAUUAUGAGUUUUUGGUUAUGCCAUUUGGACUGACGAGCGCUCCUGCAGCAUUUAUGGAUCUGAUGAAUCGGGUGUUCCAACCAUUCUUUGAUCGAUUCGUAGUCGUCUUCAUUGAUGAUAUACUGGUAUAUUCUGAAACUGAAGCGAAACAUGAUGAGCAUCUCCGUAUAGUGCUGCGAGUGUUAAGGGAGAAGGAACUCUUUGCGAAGUUCAGCAAGUGUGAAUUUUGGUUGAGGGAGGUAAACUUCUUAGGACAUGCAGUCUCUGCUGAGGGGAUUAAGGUGGACUCUCAGAAAAUUGAAGCGAUUUUGGAGUGGAAGCCACCUAGGUCAGUGUCGGAAAUACGGAGUUUCCUAGGACUGGCAGGAUACUACAGAAGGUUUAUGAAAGGUUUUUCUGUGAUGGCAGCACCCCUGACAAAACUCAUAAGGAAAGGAGUACCGUUUGUAUUGACUAAGAAGCAGCACGAAGCUUUUGAGAAGUUGAAGAAAGUUCUGACAAAAGCACCUAUGUUAAUUCAGCCGAAGUCUGGGAAGGAUUUUAGUGUGUACAGUGAUGCAUCACACGUGGGUUUGGGCUGCGUGUUAAUUCAAGAGGGUAAGGUGGUUGCAUAUGCAUCACGACAGCUUAAGCCUCAUGAGGGGAACUAUCCGACUCAUGAUUUAGAGUUGGCAGCAGUGAUAUUUGCACUUAAGAUUUAGAGACAUUACUUGUACGGAAGGUGUAUUAUAUACACUGACCAUAAGAGUCUUAAGUAUUUGUUGACUCAGAAGGAGCUGAACCUUAGGCAAAUGAGAUGGAUUGAGUUACUUAAGGAUUAUGACUGUUAGAUAGAGUAUCAUCCAGGCAAGGCUAAUGUGGUAGCCGAUGCUCUAAGUCGUACAGCUGUAUAUGAUCUAAAAGCAAUGUUUGCUCGUCUGAGUCUGUAUGAUGAUGGAAGUCUGUUGGCUGAGUUGCAAGUGAGGCCAACCUGGUGGAUCAGAUUAAGGAAAAGCAGUUGAACGAUGAGUCUUUGGUCACUCGUUUCCAACAAGUUAAGGAAGAGGAAACUUCUGAGUUUGGGUUAGAUGACGAAGGAGUUCUGUGUUUCCGAGGAAGAAUUUGUGUUCCGAAGGACUCUGAUUUGAGGCAGACAAUAUUGAAGGAAGCUCAUGGAGGACUUUGUGCCAUGUAUCUUGGAGGGAACAAGUUGUAUCACGACUUGCGAGAAUUGUACUGGUGGCCUGGACUUAAACGAGAAGUAACGGAGUUUGUAGGGAAAUGUCUGACAUGCUAGCAAGUGAAAGCUGAGCAUCAAUUACCUUUUAGACUGUUACAGCCAGUAAAGAUACCACUUUGGAAGUGGGAGAGGCUAACCAUGGACUUUGUGAGUGGGCUGCCCUUGACACCAUCGAAGAAAGACUCAAUGUGGGUGAUUGUGGAUAGGUUGACCAAAUCUGCCCAUUUCAUACCUGUUCGUACUGACUUUUCACUUCAAAAGUUAGCCAAGUUGUAUGUCGCGGAGAUUGUGCGACUUCAUGGAGCCCCAAUUUCAAUUAUUUCAGAUCGGGAUCCCAGAUUUACAUCUCGGUUUUAGCAGAAGUUGCAUGAGGCGUUGGGGACGCGAUUGAACUUUAGUACGGCUUUCCAUCCCCAGACUGAUGGUCAAUCGAAAGGGGUUAUUCAGAUUCUGGAGGACAUUUUGAGGGGAUGCGUGAUUGAUUUUCGAGGUAGUUGGGAGGAUUACUUGCCGUUGGCAGAAUUUGCGUACAAUAACAGUUACCAGGCGAGUAUUCGAAUGGCACCGUAUGAAGCACUAUAUGGACGAAGGUGUCGUACACCUAGUUUUUGGACUGAACUAGGAGAGCGACAAGUUCUUGGACCAGAGUUGGUAGCUGAUACUGAGGAUAAUGUCAGAAUAAUUAGGGACCGGUUAAGAGAAGCAUCUGAUAGGCAAAAGUCGUAUGCAGAUUUGAAGCGUAAGGAGAUUGAGUACUUAGUUGGUGAUAUGGUUUUCUUAAAGGUUUCUCCUUGGAAGAAAAUAUUAAGGUUGGGUAAGAAGGGCAAGUUGAUUCCGCGGUUCAUUGGGCCUUAUCGGGUUUUGAAGCGAGUAGGCCCAGUGGCUUAUCAAUUGGAAUUACUUCCAGAGUUAGACAGGAUUCACGAUGUUUUUCACGUCUCCAUGUUAAGGCGUUAUCGUUCUGACCCUGCUCAUGUCGUGCCAGUUGCAGAAAUUGAAGUUCAGACUGAUUUGACCUUUGAGGAGGAGCCUGUGCAAAUAUUGGCUCAAGAUGUUAAGGUUCUCAGAAGGAAAUCUGUCCCGUUAGUAAAAGUGCUUUGGCGUAAUCAUGGCAGAGAGGAAGCCACUUGGGAGCUAGAAGAGGCGAUGCAACAGCAAUACCCUCAUCUGUUUGGAUCAGGUAAAUUUCGAGGACGAAAUUUCUUUAAGGAGGGUAGAGUUGUAACGCCCCAAUUUUCGGGAAUUCUGUGAAUGUUGGCAUAGGUUUAAUUAUGUUAGUAGGCCUCUAGAAGGCCCAAGCUAAAGAUAGAACCCGGCAAUUUUAGUUAAUUUUUGUUCCAUAAGAAAAAGCGGGUGAAAUUAUGAAAUAGGACCUAUGUGAAAAUGUUUGAAAAUGCUAUAGGCUAAUUUCUAGUGGCCAAAUAAAUAGGAGUGCAAAAUAGAAGGAUUUGCAUGUCAAACCUUCCAUUUUACAAGUAGUGGCCAGCCAUCAUAUUGGUGGUAGACAACAUGUGCACUUGAUAUUAAUAAUUUAUGGUACAAAUUGAUAAAAAUUGAUAAUGGGUUAGGAAAAUGUUCCAUGAUGGGCAUGAUAAGCAUUAUGGGCAUUUUUUUAUUGGAAUUAUGACAUGAGUAUGGCACAAAUAUUAGUAUAUCAUUUAUGUGUCACAAAAUGUUGAGUGAUAAGAAUAACAAAAGGAAGUAAAGGAAGGUUUUUGUUCAUUCUUUGUUCUUCAUAGCCGAAUUUGAGAGAGAGCAAAUUGGGGAGGAAACCCUUGAAUAUUCGGUCACUAGGAGGAGGAAAAAUUGAAGGUAAGUUCUUGGUACUUUGCUUCUAUUUUGAUGUUCAUGGGUUCUUCUUGAUUCUACCCUAACUCAUGAAGCAUAUUUUGGUUUUUGGUUGUUGUUUCAUGUUCUUUUGAUGAAAAAUGGAAGAUAGGUGAAGUUGAGCCAAACAAAUGAGCAUGCAUGUGCCUUAGAUGCUAAGGGAAAAUAACAUGUUGUGCUUUAAAAUGAUGAAAUGGAGAUUAUACUUAAGUAAAAUCAUAGAUAUGUGAUGAUUGAUUGGUGAUAUACAUGUUUAAAUAACAAGCAUGCAAGUUAGGUGUGAAAGAGUGAUUUGGUAAUAAAUCUGCUUGGGACAGCAGCAGUAACGUGACUUUGGAACAUCACCAUAAAUUGUGGGAGAUGAGUUAGAAGCUGCAUAAAUUAUGUAAUUAAAGCUUAAUGAGUCUAGUUUCAAAUGGAAUAAACAAAAACCUAUUUUGAAUUCUGUACAAUGAGAAAUUUGAUUCGUAAUGAAGAGUGGUCAGAUUAGUCAAACAGUGAAACAUGGGGAACUUUAAGAAAAAUCUGGUAUUGAUUGGCCAUACCAAAAACUCUGAAAAUUUUAUGGAUAGAAGAUAUAUGAGUCUAUUUUCAGGGAAAAUUAACAGCACUUGAUUUGGAGUUUCAUAGCUCCAGUUAUAAAUAAUUUAGUGACUAUUGCUCAGGAAGACAGCUUGCAGUGAAAUUAUGAUUAUGUGGUAAACAUUGACAAAAAUUUGUUAAUGAGUUGCUUAUUGUUUUCUUAUAAGCUUACUAUGAUCUGUAGGUGUGGUUGGCUAAAUAUUGUAAGGGGUUAAUACGUAGUUCGUAUUUGAAUAGUUAGAUUAACGUGUUAGUAAUCCAAUUGUAGGCGGUUCGUGUGUGGAUCUCGUCAGCAUAUCGUCGCAAACAGAUGUGUAACUAACACCCUCUUAUAGACUAGAUCGGAACAAGCCGAAAAGCUGAAAUACCGAAAAGCCGAUAUUUUGAGAUCUUGCACGUGUGUGAAUGCUCAUGAGAUUAAUAGUUUGAUGUAUAUGGUCAAUUAAAGUGAUAAGACUGCAGAGUGCGCGAUUCUGUGCAUUUCGAUAUUUUUGGGCUUAAUGGGCCAAAAACGGGAUAAUGGGCCAACGGGCCCAAAUUGGUAAGAAAACGCGGUAAGUGUUUCUGAUCGUACGUAAAUGGCUAUGUUAUGUAUGAAAACCUUAAGAAUAGUUAAAUUACUUGAAUACCCCUAUGUAUGCAAAAUUACUAUUAUACCCCUAAGGUUACUUUUAACUGAAAAGCAUGACGAUCUGAUUCUGUAUGAUGUAUGCCAUGAUUAUAUAUCUGUUGCAUGGGGACUUGGGUUAUACUAUGGAGGAAGCGUCCUGAUGGCUAUGCCACAAUUAUCUGAUCUGGUGGCUCUGCCACAUAUAUCUUUCCUGGUGGUUAUGCCACAAUUAUUUGAUCUGGUGGCUCUGCCACAUAUAUCUGUUCUGGUGGCUCUACCACAAUAUCUGUAUCUGGUGACUUCAUCACAAUAUCUGGCAGCCUCGCUGUGAUUUCUGUGGUGUGUAGCGGUUGGGUGGGUCAAGUAGUCUCCCCACAUGAUGUAAGGCUGGUACAGGGGUGUUAUGGAUGAAUCUGGGUUGGGUUUCUGCAUAAACAUGUAAUAUCUGUUCUGUUCUAUUAUGGGUCUAUGGGCUUUAUUCUGAAUUCUGUUCUGGGCUAAGGCCAACUUAUUUUAUUUCUGUGGUUUGAGCUGAUAUAGGCUAUGGUUGGGUUAAUUUACACACUGAGUUUCCCCAAACUCACCCCUUUUAUUUUCAUCCACACAGGUAAUCCCCAACCAUAGUGGGCUUGGAGCUGUGAGGGAAUUCGGAGUGGCCACCCGUUCUGAAAGUUUGAUUUUCUUCUGGUGAACUGGACAUCCUUUUAUUUACGUUUGAAGUUUUGGGUUUUUAAAUGUAAUAAGGCCGC